rnacentral:rRNA from 1 species
UACGAAGGGGGCUAGCGUUGUUCGGAAUUACUGGGCGUAAAGCGCGCGUAGGCGGCUUUGCAAGUCGGGUGUGAAAUCCCCAGGCUUAACCUGGGAACUGCAUUCGAGACUGCAUUGCUAGAGUAUGGGAGAGGGAAGUGGAAUUUCCGGUGUAGCGGUGAAAUGCGUAGAUAUCGGAAGGAACAUCAGUGGCGAAGGCGGCUUCCUGGCCCAAUACUGACACUCAGGUGCGACAGCGUGGGGAGCAAACAGG